rnacentral:miRNA from 1 species
GGGACCUGGGUUCAAUUCCCAGCCAAUGCACUUAAGGCAUGGUUGCCACCCAUCUCUCACUGGAGGCUUGUGUGUUGCUGU